GCGAACAAGGAGUGGUCUAACGCGAUAGACUUAAGAUCUAUUAUCAUUUGAUGUCGUGGGUUCGAAUCCCACCCUUAGCA
rnacentral:tRNA from 1 species